rnacentral:tRNA from 1 species
GGGGCGUGGCGAGAGGGCAAACGCGCAAGACUAAGAAUCUUCUUGGCUCAAGAAGCCUUGCGAGUUCGAUGCUUGCCACCCCCA